GGGUGCGAUCAUACCAGCACUAGUGCACUGGAUCCCAUCAGAACUCCGAAGUUGAACGUGCUUGGGCGAGAGUAGUACUAAAAUGGGUGACCUCUUGGGAAGUCCUCGUGUUGCACCCC
rfam:Ricinus communis cultivar Hale ctg_1100012301234, whole genome shotgun sequence.